AUGGAUGAUCUUCUUCACUCCGUUGUUGCUAUGUUGGGAUCAUUUCGUGACCUCCUUGCCCUUGCUGCCACCUGCACCUCUUGGCGUGCUGCUUUCUCCUCAUAUUCAUCCAAAUCCACGCUCUUGCCACCUCUGCUCCUUCAACCUGGUGUCCCUAUCUGCUUUCCUCGUCCCCACCCAUUGAGUAACAGCCUCAUACCUAAACGACCAUGUUUUUGCACUGAUCUAGCCAACCAAGACAUGCACAUGUGUUGUCAGAUUCCCCUACUUAUUGAUGUUGAGAGUUUUCGUUUCAUCGGUGCUUCGUGUGGCCAUAUUUUCUUGGCCCGUGAAAAAACAUGUCUUGUUAUUGAUAUCUUCACAGGUUUUAGUGUGUCACCUCCGCAAGUACCAGCCGAGGGAUAUAGUCAGCCCUACUACGCUGCCCUCACCGCUCCUCUAGCAUCACCUAACUCACAUCUACUUGUCAUCACUCCGUGGCAGACCUUCUUCUGGCGUGUUGGUAGCCAGUCUUGGUUGAGGUGUACCAAACUUGGAACACCCAAGCAGGUAGUGGUCUUCAAAGGCCAGGUCUUUGUCAUGAAUCAUGAUCAUACGCUCUUUGUCGUGCACUUUGUACCCCAAAUUCACUUGCAGCAAAUAGCAAUUGAUUGGGCAGGGGAAGGCGUGACCGGUACCUAUGAGUGGCUUGUGGCAUGCGAUGAUAUGCUGCUCAUGGUCAGUUUCCAAUGUUCAUUAUCCUUAGGGAAUGCCUUUAAAGCCUUUCGUCUUGACUUAUCAUCCAAACCGGCAAAAUGGGUGGAAGUGGAGGAGCUCAAGAAUUGGGCAAUCUUCAUCAGCAUUGACGUGAGAAUCUGCCCAUUGUGUUGCAUUAACCCAGAGAGAUGGGGAGGGAGGAACAACUGUGUAUAUUAUUGUUCACGUGAUUCUGAAGGUUGGGUCGCAUUUCAGUUGGGCAAGCCAUUGCAGAGAGAUGCCUCCAACCGGAGCAUCUCUAUAUUGAGUAGCAGGCAGGUGCAACCUAUCUCUCCUCGUCCCCACCCAUUGAGUAACAGCCUCAUACCUAAGCAACCAUGCCAUUGCACUGAUCUAGCCAACCAAGACAUGUACAUGUCUUGUCAGGUCUCCCUAGUUAUUGAUGCUGAGAGUUUUCAUUUCAUCGGUGCUUCAUGUGGCCAUAUUUUCUUGGCCCGCAAACAAACAUGCCUUGUUGUUGAUACCUUCACAGGUGUUAGUGUCCCACCUCCGCAAGUACCAAACGAGGGAUACACUCAGCCCUACUAUGCUGCCCUCACUGCUCCUCUAGCAUCACCUGACUCACUGUUGGCGCCGCCUCCUCUGCGGCAGAGCUUCUUUUGGCGUGUUGGUAGCCAGUCUUGGUUGAGGUGUUCCAACAUUGGAACACCCAAGCAGGUAGUAGUCUUCAAAGGUCAGGUCUUUGUCAUGAAUAGUGAUCGUAUGCUCCUUCUCGUGCACUUUGUACCAGAAAUUUACUUACAAGAAAUAGCAAUUGAUUGGGUGGGGGAAGGCAUGACUGGUACCUACGAGUGGCUUGUGGCGUGCGAUGAUAUGCUUCUCAUGGUCAGUCUUCAAUGUUCAUUAUCAUUAGGGGAUACCUUUAAAGCCUUUCGUCUUGACUUAUCAACCAAACCUGCAAAAUGGGUGGAAGUGGAGAGGCUCGAGAAUUGGGCAAUCUUCAUCAGCAUUGAAGUGAGAAUCCGUCCAUUGUGUUGCAUUAACCCAGAUAGAUGGGGAGGGAGGAGCAACUGUGUAUAUUAUUGUUCACAUAAUUCUGAAGGUUGGGUCGCAGUUGAGUUGGGAAAGCCAUUGCAGAGAGAUGCCUCCAACCGGAGCAUCUGUAUAUGGAGUAACAUGCGGAUGGAACCUAUGUAG
rnacentral:rRNA from 1 species